CUUCUACUCCCUCCAUUCGGAAUUACUUGUCGUAGAAAUGGAUGUAUCUAGAUGUAUUUUAGUUCUAAAUACAUUCAUUUUUGAGACAAGUAGUUCCGAACGGGGGAGUAGGAG
rnacentral:pre_miRNA from 1 species